GACUUUGUAGUGGAAAAAAGACGCUAGGCUGCAAUCCUAGAGAUGUAAUUGUCGUUACCUUAGUCU
rnacentral:tRNA from 1 species